AACUAAGUUGUUAUAUCUCUUUCAAUUUGGCAUUCAAGAUAAAAAAAAAGAUUAGUCAUUGUUUAUUAAUUAAGUAAAUGAUUUUUACAGUUUUUAAGACUUCAGGGUAAAAAACAGCGAGGAAAAGAAGAGAUUCAAAUAAUAGAUAUAUCUGCAGAUCAACAGCUUCCAAAUGAAAAUCUUUUAAUAAAAAAUCUUACAGAUGAAAGCCUUUAUUAUUCUUCCAAAAAAAAGGGCAAAAUGCCAACAGCACAACAAAGAAGAAAACACCAAAUUACUUAUCUUGCUUUUCAGGCAAAAGAGAGAGAGCUUGAACUGAAAAAUCAGUGGUCCAAAAAUAGAAUGACUCGUCGUCAGACUCAAG